rnacentral:lncRNA from 1 species
UGCUCAUAGAUUCGAUGCCGCGCCUGCUCUCUCCAGCGCGCCUCUUGAGCGAAUUACCAGGCGGAUGGUCAUAUUCUUCACGAAAUUCGUCGCCCUGUCGUCGGCGAUCUUCGAGUUGGUUGCCACCGAGGUCGUCCGCCCCGACGGCCUUGAACCGUGUGAAGAACGGCCACAUCCUCCCCAUCGCCGGAUUCGACAGAGAGAUGGGCAUUGCAGGGAUGGGCGCCUGUCGAGGGAAGCCAUGCCAUGGAAGAAUGUUAGAGCUCUCCCCCGCUCCCUAUUCACAACCGCCGUUCCCGCCAACGGCGCUACAGACCCACGUGGCGACUGAAGGUCAUACCGGCCACCUGGCGGCCACCGUGGCCGAAUCAAUACGUGCUUACGUGUCAAAUAAAUAAUAAUAUUUUCUCGCGCAUUAAUGUGCGUGCUUCCAAAUAAUAUUCCGAAAUCAGGAUGAGAUGUGCGUGCGUUAAAGCUUGUGACGCGGCAGAAGGUCAACAGUCUGACUUCCGGGCUCCACGGCCUGUAGACGCCGUUCAGAUGCCGGAGAGACGCCGGAGACGGAACGUGAGGUGCGGGUUACACCGGCGGUCGCGCCCGAGGGACGUCGUCUUCUCCGGCACCCCGUCGCCUUCUGCGCCAGAUCCAAGACGACUGCCGGCCGGAGAUCGCCGGUAAGGUCCUCUCUCUCUCUCUCUCUCUCUCUCUCUCUCUCUNNNN